ensembl:rRNA 5S_rRNA 5S ribosomal RNA
UGUGGCCAUACAUACCACCCUGAAGGCGCCUGAUCUCAUCUGAUCUCGGAAGCUGAGCAGGGUUGGGCCUAGUUAGUACUUGGAUGGGAAGACUACUAUUUAAGGGCUGGGAAUUUAGCUCAGUGGGAUAA